rnacentral:rRNA from 1 species
AUACGGAGGAUCCGAGCGUUAUCCGGAUUUAUUGGGUUUAAAGGGUGCGCAGGCGGCCAUUUAAGUCAGCGGUUAAAUCGUGGGGCUCAACCCCAUUCUGCCGUUGAUACUGGGUGGCUUGAUUGCGGUCGAGGUUGGCGGAAUUCGUUGUGUAGCGGUGAAAUGCAUAGAUAUGACGAAGAACACCGAUUGCGUAGGCAGCUGACCAGAUCGCAAACGACGCUCAUGCACGAAAGUGCGGGGAUCGAACAGGAUUAGAUACCCUGGUAGUCCGCACAGUAAACGAUGAAUACUUGUUUUCGGCGAUAAAUGUCGGAGGCAAAGCGAAAGCGAUAAGUAUUCCACCUGGGGAGUACGCCGGCAACGGUGAAACUCAAAGGAAUUGACGGGG